rnacentral:rRNA from 1 species
AGUGAACGCUGGCGGUAGGCCUAACACAUGCAAGUCGAACGAGUGGCGGACGGGUGAGGAAUACAUCGGCAUCUCCUCUGUCGUGGGGGAUAACUGGGGGAAACUUACGCUACUACCGCCUACGGUUGGAUGCGCCGAUGUCGGAUUAGCUAGUUGGUGGGGUAAAGUCCCACCAAGGCGACGAUCCGUAGCUGGUCUGAGAGGAUGAUCAGCCACACGGGAGCUGGGACAAGGUCCAGAAUCCUACGGGAGGCAGCAGUGGGGAAUCUUGGGCAAGGGGCGCAAACCUGAUCCAGCCAUUCCGCGUGAGUGAGGAAGGCCUUCGGGUUGUAAAGCACUUUUGUUGGAAAAGCGGUACCCAAAGAAUAAGCACCGGCUAACUCCGUGCCAGCAGCCGCGGUAAUAC